AUUGAACGCUGGCGGCAGGCCUAACACAUGCAAGUCGAGCGGAGCGGCGGACGGGCGAGUAAUGCCUAGGUAUCUGCCUGGUAGUGGGAGAUAACGUCCGGAAAGGGGCGCUAAUACAGCAUACUAUCAGAUAAGCCUAGGUCGGAUUAGCUAGUUGGUGGGGUAAAGGCCUACCAAGCCGACGAUCCGUAACUGGUCUGAGAGGAUGAUCAGUCACACUGGAACUGAGACACGGUCCAGACUCCUACGGGAGGCAGCAGUGGGGAAUAUUGGACAAUGGGCGAAAGCCUGAUCCAGCCAUGCCGCGUGUGUGAAGAAGGUCUUCGGAUUGUAAAGCACUUUAAGUUGGGAGGCGUUACCAGCAGAAUAAGCACCGGCUAACUUCGUGCCAGCAGCCGCGGUAAUAC
rnacentral:rRNA from 1 species